AGGCAGCCUUUUCCUUCAGGGGAGAUCAUCGGGGGCCAUGAAGCCAAGCCCCACUCCCGCCCCUACAUGGCGUAUCUUCAGUACUGGAAUCAGGAUGUCCAGAGUAGGUGUGGUGGUUUCCUGGUUCGAGAGGACUUCGUGCUGACAGCCGCUCACUGCCAUGGAAGCUCAAUGAACGUCACCCUGGGGGCCCACAACAUCAAACAGCAGGAGAGGACCCAGCAGGUCAUCGGGGUGAGAAGAGCCAUCUGCCACCCAGACUAUAAUCCUAAAAACUUCUCCAACGACAUCAUGUUAUUAAAGCUGGAGAGAAAGGCCAAGCAGACAUCAGCUGUGAAGCCCCUUAGGCUGCCCAGGGCCAAGGCCCGGGUGAAGCCAGGACAGGUGUGCAGCGUGGCCGGCUGGGGGAGGGACUCCACGGGUAGCUACGCUGACACACUGCAGGAGGUAAAGCUGACCGUGCAGGAGGACCGAAGGUGUGAGGCCUACUUACGCAACUAUUAUAACCACGCCAACCAGCUGUGUGUGGGGGACCCAAAGACGAAGAAAGCUACCUUUAAGGGGGACUCCGGAGGCCCUCUCGUGUGUGACAAUGUGGCCCAGGGCAUUGUCUCUUAUGGACAAAAAGAUGGAUCAACUCCACGGGCCUUCACCAAAGUCUCAACUUUCCUGCCCUGGAUAAAGAAAACCAUGAAAAGCCUCUGACUGCAGGAACCAGACCA
rnacentral:lncRNA from 1 species